rnacentral:rRNA from 1 species
UUUUACCAUCGGAAUUCAUUCUGCCGCGAUCUCUCGUCGCCUUACCGCAGCAUCACGAUGUCGCUCCGGCGCCUCCUAGGCCUUUCCGCCGCCAUCUCCGGCCGCCUAAGCCGCUCCCUGUCCACCUCCAUGGGUGCCUACUCCCGUCCUCCCUGGAUCUUGUUCGACCAGGUGACGCUGACCACCCGGUCGGCAGCACUGGGCGCGUCCGUGCGCAUCGUCGAGCCCCCGCGCUUCUCCGCCCUCACCGUGCCUGCGCUCCUAGUCGACGCCGGCGCCGGCCCCGACCCCGACAGCGACGUCACGCAACUCCUCAUCGGCCGCGUCUGCUCCACCAGCGCCGACGGCCUCCUCUUCCUCAUCGUCUACGAUCUCCACGCCACGGCCCCCAUCCUCGCCAAGCAAGGUGCCAACCAUGUGCGCCAGCUGACCGGCCUCGACCCCGGGCACACCCCAGACAUCACGCGCUUCCUCUGCAACCCUCUCACCGGCCAACUGACCCGCCUCCCGGCGAUCGGCGCCGGCCAGGAGAAGUUCGGGUGCGGCCCUCACAUGGGCGUCCUCACCCAAGCCGGUCGCGCGCACGGGGAUCCCGGCAGGCUCGCCGUCGCCGAGCUGCAGGGGAACAUGAUGCUCCUCUUUCUCUCGGACACAGCAGAGUGGGAGGUCGCGGUCACCGCGCCGUGGCAACUCCCGCUCGCUCGGCGGUUUUACUCCGAGACGGGCCGGACUGACCAAGAAGCGUUCGCCUUCGGCGGACGGCUGUGGUGGGCUGACCUGAGCUGGGGUGUCAUCUCGGCCGACCCGUUCAGCGACCGGCCGGAGCCCCACUUCGUCGAGCUGCCGAGGGGCAGCGUGGUGCCAGCACGCCCAGAGCGGGCGGCAGGGUGGCUUGACCUGGAGGGCAUGAAGGCCGUGUCCAGAGCUGCACUGGGCAGGUACCGGCGCAUGGGGGUCAGCGAGGGAAGGGUGCGCUACGCCGAGGUGUGGGAGCGUGAGCCGUUCGUACUCAGCUCCUUUGCGCUGGACGACGAGGGCGGCGGCUGGACGCUGGAGCACCGCAUGGCGCUCAGCCGGCUCUGGGCGGGUGGAGACUACCCGUGGCUGCCCUUGCCGGAGAAGACGACGCCACAAAUUGGCGCCCUUGACCCACUGAACGGCAACGUCAUCUACCUCACGGUCGGCAUGCACAUCAUCGGCGUGGACAUGAGCAAGGAGGAGGUGAUUGGGAGCUCUCUGCACAAUGGCUCCACGUUCUGUGUAUCAUGCGUUCUUCCACCCUCGCUUGAAUCGACCCGGAUCUAUGCCGCAGGUAAUCGAUUC